AGUGAACGCUGGCGGUAGGCCUAACACAUGCAAGUCGAACGGCAGCACAGUAAGAGCUUGCUCUUACGGGUGGCGAGUGGCGGACGGGUGAGGAAUACAUCGGAAUCUACUUUUUCGUGGGGGAUAACGUAGGGAAACUUACGCUAAUACCGCAUACGACCUACGGGUGAAAGCAGGGGAUCUUCGGACCUUGCGCGAUUCAAUUAGCCGAUGUCGGAUUAGCUAGUUGGCGGGGUAAAGGCCCACCAAGGCGACGAUCCGUAGCUGGUCUGAGAGGAUGAUCAGCCACACUGGAACUGAGACACGGUCCAGACUCCUACGGGAGGCAGCAGUGGGGAAUAUUGGACAAUGGGCGCAAGCCUGAUCCAGCCAUACCGCGUGGGUGAAGAAGGCCUUCGGGUUGUAAAGCCCUUUUGUUGGGAAAGAAAAGCAGCAGGUGAAUACCCCGCUGUUCCGACGGUACCCAAAGAAUAAGCACCGGCUAACUUCGUG
rnacentral:rRNA from 1 species